GCCCGCCUAGCUCAAUCGGAUAGAGCGUCAGACUUUUAUAAGCACGUGACACGUCGGAAUCUGAAGGCUGCGAGUUCGACCCUCGCGGUGGGCU